UACGGGGGGGGCAAGCGUUGUUCGGAAUUACUGGGCGUAAAGGGCUCGUAGGCGGCCAACUAAGUCGGACGUGAAAUCCCUCGGCUUAACCGGGGAACUGCGUCCGAUACUGGAUGGCUUGAGUCCGGGAGAGGUGAGUGGAAUUCCCAGUGUAGCGGUGAAAUGCGUAGAUAUUGGGAGGAACACCAGUGGCGAAGGCGGCUCACUGGACCGGAACUGACGCUGAGGCGCGAAAGCGUGGGGAGCAAACGGG
rnacentral:rRNA from 1 species